GAAGGUCAUUGUAGCUGGAGUAGAUCGAGUAGGAGGAGACUGAUAAAGGGUGAGGUUGGAGGCUGGGCGCGGUGGGUCACGCCUGUAAUCCCAGCACUUCGGGAGGCCAAGGCGGGCGGAUCACUUGAAGUCAGGAGUUCGAGACCGGCCUGGCCAACAUGGCGAAACCCCGUCUCUAUUUCAAAAAAAGAAAAAAAAAAGUAUAAAAAGGAUGAGGUUGGAGAUGUGGGCAGGGGCUGCAUCAUAUGUGGCCUUUGGGGGUCAUAAUCAGGACUUUGGAUUUUAUUCUAAGCUAUUGUAAGGUUUUAAAGUAAAGAGUGAUGUGAACAAAUUUGUUUUAAAAGAUCACUCUGCUUUGUAGAGAAUAGAAUAUAGGAAAGCAAGAAUGGAAACAGAGCUAUUAGGAGGCUAUUGGAGAAUAAUGCAGAUGAGAGAUUAUUACACUGUCUGAACUAAGGAGGUGGCGGUAAAGGUGUAGAGAAGAUGGAUUUUUUUUUUUAAACGGUCCCACUGUCUAGAGUGCAGUGGCGUGAUCACAGCUCACUGCAACCUAGACCUCCUGGGCUCAGGCGAUCCUCCCACCUCAGCAUCCUGAGUAGCUGGGACUAUAGGCGCAUGCCACCAUGCCUGGCUAAUUUUUCGUAUUUUUUUUGUAGAGAUUGGGUCUCUCCACAUUGCCCCGGCUGCUCUCCAACCCCUGAGUUCAAGUGAUUCACCUCCCUUGGCCUCCCAAAGUACUGGGAUUACAGGCGUGAGCCACCGUGCCUGGCUGAGAAGAUGGAUUUAAGACAUAUUUUGGAGCGGAAAGUGACCAGAAGAGGUGUGCAGUUUCCAGGCCUGGCCCAUACAGACCUCCAACAGGUGCUCCCCUGUGCUGUUACUCCUUCUGCCAACUGGAAGCAGAUGGUGACCAGGCUCUGGAGAAGGCAAGGCCUGAAGAUGGGAGAUUCCUAAGUGGAGGAGAACUGUGCCUUACUGACCUAAAUAUCCACUCAGUAUUGUUAUGUGAGAAUAAAUAAACUUGUGUUGACC
rnacentral:lncRNA from 1 species